rnacentral:tRNA from 1 species
GGAGGAGUACGGAAGCGGCUGUAACCGAGCUGCCUGCUAAGCAGUUGUGGGCGAAAGUCCACCGUGGGUUCGAAUCCCACCUCCUCCGCCA